UGGGGAAUAUUGGACAAUGGGGGAAACCCUGAUCCAGCAAUGCCGCGUGAGUGAAGAAGGCCUUAGGGUUGUAAAGCUCUUUCGCCCGCGAAGAUAGUGACGGUAGCGGGAGAAGAAGCCCCGGCUAACUCCGUGCCAGCAGCCGCGGUAAUACGGAGGGGGCUAGCGUUGUUCGGAAUUACUGGGCGUAAAGCGUACGUAGGCGGAUGCGCAAGUUGGGGGUGAAAUCCCGGGGCUUAACCUCGGAAUUGCCCUCAAAACUGCACGUCUUGAGACCGAGAGAGGUAAGGGGAAUUCCUAGUGUAGAGGUGAAAUUCGUAGAUAUUAGGAAGAACACCAGUGGCGAAGGCGCCUUACUGGCUCGGUACUGACGCUGAGGUACGAAAGCGUGGGGAGCAAACA
rnacentral:rRNA from 1 species